rnacentral:rRNA from 1 species
UACGGGGGGGGCAAGCGUUGUUCGGAAUUACUGGGCGUAAAGGGCUCGUAGGUGGCCAACUAAGUCACACGUGAAAUCCCUCGGCUUAACCGGGGAACUGCGUGUGAUACUGGAUGGCUUGAGUUUGGGAGAGGGAUGCGGAAUUCCAGGUGUAGCGGUGAAAUGCGUAGAUAUCUGGAGGAACACCGGUGGCGAAGGCGGCAUCCUGGACCAACACUGACGCUGAGGAGCGAAAGCCAGGGGAGCAAACGGG